UAGACCUCUGGAGAAGGACACGAGGAAACAUCCCGUGUCAAAGUGAAAUGAUUGCUGCGCCUUGAGCGUCUGUGGUGUGAACGCGAACGCUGAAACUAAACACAGAGGAGGAACUUAAACACCGGAAACAAAAAGGUUUUACUCCGGUAAAUCUGACGGGUUACAGUGGUUGUCGUACGCAUUGUCAACACAUAUCAAUAUACUCAACAUACCAAAAGAGGGAACAAACUAAACCGCUCCCUACUGCAUUAAUAACGCCAGAGGAAGUAAUCGGCCAAAUCCCAGCGGCAACUACCGGCGGAAUUGGCGCAGAGCUUUGAACUGCGGGAACUGUAGUUCGCACUGCAGUGCUUUAACUUUUUGGUUGCUUCUUGGGAGAAAUUCAGCCUCCGACAGGAAGUUUGUAGAGGCAAGGAAGCGUUACUAUUGGGUUUUGACGGGCAGCGUACGUACGUUCCAUUUAGCAAAUGCAACCUCUGAUGGUGAACGCUGUUGUAUAAUAAUGGCAAUUGAACGGAUCUAAGAUAAGAUCACGCGUUCUAAAUGAGUGAGGGGUUGCUGCAAUAUGAAGACCGGCGCUUCAACCAGCUGAGAAACACAGUUUAUUUUAAAAUGCAACGCACACAAAAUGCUGGAGAAACUCAGCAGGUCAGACAGCAUCUAUGGAGAGGAAUAAACAGUCGACGUUUCAGGCCGAGACCGCUCUUCGGGACUCGGGAUUCCCAGAAUC